GAUGAACGCUGGCGGCGUGCCUAAUACAUGCAAGUCGAGCGAAUGGAUUAAGAGCUUGCUCUUAUGAAGUUAGCGGCGGACGGGUGAGUAACACGUGGGUAACCUGCCCAUAAGACUGGGAUAACUCCGGGAAACCGGGGCUAAUACCGGAUAACAUUUUGCACCGCAUGGUUCGAAAUUGAAAGGCUGCUUCGGCUGUCACUUAUGGAUGGACCCGCGUCGCAUUAGCUAGUUGGUGGGGUAACGGCUCACCAAGGCAACGAUGCGUAGCCGACCUGAGAGGGUGAUCGGCCUCACUGGGACUGAGACACGGCCCAGACUCCUACGGGAGGCAGCAGUAGGGAAUCUUCCGCAAUGGACGAAAGUCUGACGGAGCAACGCCGCGUGAGUGAUGAAGGCUUUCGGGUCGUAAAACUCUGUUGUUAGGGAAGAACAAGUGCUAGUUGAAUAAGCUGGCACCUUGACGGUACCUAACCAGAAAGCCACGGCUAACUACGUGCCAGCAGCCGCCGUAA
rnacentral:rRNA from 1 species